CCAGAAAAACCCUUGUUUAUCCCCCUUUUUUGCCCUUAAUUGCGAAAUGAUUUAAGCCAUAACCCCCCAUAACCAUCCCUUUGUAGUAAGGAAGCUUGUGGUAUAACUUCAGAGAGAUUUAAACACUUAAACACAAGUUAUUGACUGUAAACUACAACUAGUUAUUGUUUGGAAACUAGAAAAAUGCUUGUUUUUGGUCCUUUUA
rnacentral:lncRNA from 1 species